rnacentral:tRNA from 1 species
GGAUUGUGGCUCAGCGGUAGAGCACUUGCCUAAAAUGAGAGGGACAUGGGUUCGAUCCUCAGCACCA